GGCCACAUCGCGUUGAAACACCGGUUCCCUUACUAUCACCGAAGUUAAACAACGUCGAGCCUGGUCAAUAACUUCAUGGGUGACCCUUUGGGAAUAUCAGAUGCUGUAAG